UAUGUAGGGUCCAAGCGUUGUCCGGAAUUAUUGGGCGUAAAGAGCUCGUAGGCGGUCCGUUAAGUCGGAAGUGAAAUCUCAAGGCUCAACCUUGAAAUCGCUCUCGAUACUGGCGGACUUGAGGCAGGUAGGGGAAGGUGGAAUUCCUGGUGUAGCGGUGAAAUGCGCAGAUAUCAGGAGGAACACCGAUGGCGAAGGCAGGUCUCUGGGCCACUACUGACGCUGAGAAGCGAAAGCAUGGGGAGCGAACAGG
rnacentral:rRNA from 1 species